AAUUUGCUUGUAGACGUUUUUAUCCCUCGAACUUACACGUUAAAAUUUGUUAAUUUGUAUACUUAUAACGUAUUUCCAUUUUGCUACAAGAUAAGGCUAAAUUCAACCGCAAAUUAGAAAUUUAAGUGAAAGUCAUACAACCAUGGUUCUCCGAAGCUGCAGUGGCAGACCCUGAUCUACCGCGCGUUUCCGACCACGCAGGAAAAAUUGAGAAUGAUGUUAGCCAUAAUUGUCGUGUUAACGUUUAUUAUUGAUGUGCAGAAAGAAUGCCAGGUUAUCCACAGUGAAAGACACAGUACACAGCCUCCGCAGCUUUUUAUUUCAGGAACUGACUUUUCCCCUUGUUUUACAGACAGCCUUAUGGGCGCACUGACGUCACGCACCGGGAUUCCAAAAGCGUCAGUAAGGAUCGGUAUUGACGUAAUCGGAGAGACAACCCCCAGUGUUUUGACCAAGAUCAACGUCUCAAUGGGUUUUUUCUCUUACGAAGAAGGAAGAGUCGUUUGGUGUAACAGAGUGGAAAUGUGGCGUGCUUUCAGAGGAAAAGCGCCAAAGCAUUAGGAUCAGGUUUCAAGUGGAGCACAGUGUUUAUUCCCUGUGCGCUCUGCUCCCUUUUAAGGAUGCCAAUAAUAUAUAAAGUGAAAAAAAAUAGAAAGAGGAGUAUUCAGAGAAAAAGGAUGAGUGAUGUGGGGGCUGGUGCGGUAGGUUCCGGUCUCGUCUGCCGUGUUAAUUUUUACAGGCAAGAAAUGACUCUUUCAUCGCAGUAAGAUGUCAGCUGUGUGUCCUGCAUGCCACCCCCUGCAAAUAUGGAGGCUGUAUUCAACAUUAUAUGGGCAUGCAGUGUUUCAGUAUUCUGGACCUUUUGCACAGUUUUAAAGUAUGUUGAAAAUAUUUUCAAAUAUGCAAUGAAAUUUUGUCAGGAAUUCUGAAAUAUACCUUGCAUUGUAUUGGUAAAUUUGAUUGCAAUCGGUGACUGACCUGGGCUUCAGACUUGUAUUUUUUUUGAAUGUGUAUUCUUUAGAAAUAAUAAUAAAAAAAAUGCAUAUUUGUAUUUGCUUUUUAAAUGUAUAUUGAAAAAAUGUCACCUGUGUUAGCGCUUUCAAGUGACGCUAAACUAAUGGCACUAAUCACAAUAGUACUGCUAUUGCAGACAUUACAUCCCCCUAUACAAUCCCCCUAUAGCCUACUGUGGAACCCCAAGUUAAGUUAUGGCAAAGUGAAUAAUGUUAUUUAUUUUGUAAAAUUGUAUUAGACAUUAUCCUAAUGGUCAGAAGUCGUUUUUGACAUGUUGAAUGCAGAAGUGGACAGGAAUAAAGAUCUGAUUGACUCUGA